GACGUAGGGUGCAAGCGUUGUCCGGAUUUACUGGGCGUAAAGAGCGCGCAGGCGGUCGUUCAAGUCGCGUGUGAAAGCCCCCGGCUCAACUGGGGAGGGUCACGCGAUACUGAUCGACUCGAAGGCAGGAGAGGGUAGUGGAAUUCCCGGUGUAGUGGUGAAAUGCGUAGAUAUCGGGAGGAACACCAGUGGCGAAGGCGACUACCUGGCCUGUUCUUGACGCUGAGGCGCGAAAGCUAGGGGAGCAAACGGG
rnacentral:rRNA from 1 species